rnacentral:rRNA from 1 species
GUUACAAAACCUAAAGGCGAAAUGAAAGUAAAGAGAGUCUUUUGACUCUCAAGGGAGGAUGAGCUACUGCUCCUGGUCGUUCUAACCGGCGGCCGAGCGUGUCUCCGCACUCCCGGGGCGAUUCUUACUCAUUGCGAGUGGAGGCGCACCAAGAGCGAGCACGCUGAAACCCGAAAGAUGGUGAACUAUGCCUGGCCAGGACGAAGCCAGGGGAAACCCUGGUGGAGGUCCGCAGCGAUUCUGACGUGCAAAUCGAUCGUCGGAGCUGGGUAUAGGGGCGAAAGACCAAUCGAACCAUCUAGUAGCUGGUUCCCUCUGAAGUUUCCCUCAGGAUAGCUUGCGCUCGGGUGUGAAGAGUCUCAUCCGGUAGAGCGAAUGAUUAGAGGCCUUGGGGUCGAAACGACCUCAACCUAUUCUCAAACUCCAAAUAGAUGAGAACCCCGGCUUGCUUGAACAUUUUUUUUUAUAUUGAAGCCGCGGGACUCGGAUCAGAGUGCCAAGUGGGCCAAUUUUGGUAAGCAGAACUGGCGCUGUGGGAUGAACCAAACGCAGAGUUAAGGCGCCCGAAUCGACGCUCAUGCGAAACCAUGAAAGGCGUUGGUUGCUCAAGACAGUAGGUCGGUGGCCCUGACAGUCGGAAUCCGCUAAGGGGGUGUUGAAAAAAAA